rnacentral:tRNA from 1 species
AGUUAUUUAGCUAAAUGUUAAGCAAAUACCUUGAAAGUAUUCUAAAUAAGUUUAAUUCUUAUAAUAACUU